GAUAAACGCUGGCGGCGUGCCUAAUACAUGCAAGUCGAGCGAAUGGAUUAAGAGCUUGCUCUUAUGAAGUUAGCGGCGGACGGGUGAGUAACACGUGGGUAACCUGCCCAUAAGACUGGGAUAACUCCGGGAAACCGGGGCUAAUACCGGAUAACAUUUUGAACCGCAUGGUUCGAAAUUGAAAGGCGGCUUCGGCUGUCACUUAUGGAUGGACCCGCGUCGCAUUAGCUAGUUGGUGAGGUAACGGCUCACCAAGGCAACGAUGCGUAGCCGACCUGAGAGGGGGAUCGGCCACACUGGGACAGAGACACGGCCCAGACUCCUACGGGAGGCAGCAGUAGGGAAUCUUCCGCAAUGGACGAAAGUCUGACGGAGCAACGCCGCGUGAGUGAUGAAGGCUUUCGGGUCGUAAAACUCUGUUGUUAGGGAAGAACAAGUGCUAGUUGAAUAAGCUGGCACCUUGACGGUACCUAACCAGAAAGCCACGGCUAACUACGUGCCAGCAGCCGCCGUAA
rnacentral:rRNA from 1 species